rnacentral:rRNA from 1 species
GACGAACGCUGGCGGCGUGCUUAACACAUGCCAGUCGAACGGAAAGGCCCUGCUUUUGUGGGGUGCUCGAGUGGCGAACGGGUGAGUAACACGUGAGUAACCUGCCCUUGACUUUGGGAUAACUUCAGGAAACUGGGGCUAAUACCGGAUAGGAGCUCCUGCUGCAUGGUGGGGGUUGGAAAGUUUCGGCGGUUGGGGAUGGACUCGCGGCUUAUCAGCUUGUUGGUGGGGUAGUGGCUUACCAAGGCUUUGACGGGUAGCCGGCCUGAGAGGGUGACCGGGCACAUUGGGACUGAGAGUCGGACCAGACUCCAACGGGAGGCAGCAGUGGGGAAUAUUGCACAAUGGGCGGAAGCCUGAUGCAGCAACGCCGCGUGCGGGAUGACGGCCUUCGGGUUGUAAACCGCUUUCGCCUGUGACGAAGCGUGAGUGACGGUAAUGGGUAAAGAAGCACCGGCUAACUACGUG